GGAUCAGCUUUCCAGCGCUGGAGAGAACUGAAGGAGCGAGAAGGCCUGCGAUGGGCCACCAAUGUUGCUUUUUUCCUUCUCGAUAGUUGGGGCACUCUGACAGAAAAGAAGGGAUAGAUGAGGAGCUGAGUGAGGAUAAAGGUUUCUCAGCAGAGUGGCAGUGAAGGGGCUCCGCAAAAACAGACCCAGAGAGGCAUCGGGAAAGCGGGAUGGCACUUUUCAUGACACACACUGAAAGAGACAAAGAACACUAAGGCGUGUGGUAAGAAGGAGCGGUUCUCUGAAACCUCCAGGCUGCGUUUGGGUUUGAGUUGAGUGAGAGGUCCUGCACUAGUCACAAUUGAUGGCAAGGAGGCUUGAGACUGGUCCAAACAGAACAGGACAAGGAGGAAACU